rnacentral:sRNA from 1 species
GGUUUGGCUACAAUACCUGUCACCCCUAUGAUCACCAGGCCUGAUUUGGCUGAUUUGGCUGGCUAGGACAGUAUCCUCUUCCU